AUUGAACGCUGGCGGCAGGCCUAACACAUGCAAGUCGAACGAGUGGCGGACGGGUGAGUAAUGUCUGGGAAACUGCCUGAUGGAGGGGGAUAACUACUGGAAACGGUAGCUAAUACCGCAUACCAUCAGAUGUGCCCAGAUGGGUUUAGCUAGUGGGGGGGGUAACGGCUCACCAAGGCGACGAUCCAUAGCUGGUCUGAGAGUAUGACCCGCAAUACUGGGACGGAGACACGGCCCAGAAUCCUACGGGAGGCAGAAGUGGGGAAUGUUGCACAAUGGGCGCAAGCCUGAUGCAGCCAUGCCGCGUGUAUGAAGAAGGCCUUCGGGGUGUAAAGUACUUUCAGCGGGGAAGCGUUACCCGAAGAGGAAGCACCGGCUAACUCCGUGCCAGCAGCCGCGGUAAUAC
rnacentral:rRNA from 1 species